rnacentral:rRNA from 1 species
UACGAAGGGUGCAAACGUUGCUCGGAAUUAUUGGGCGUAAAGCGCACGUAGGCGGCUAUUCAAGUCAGAGGUGAAAGCCCGGGGCUCAACCCCGGAACUGCCUUUGAAACUAGAUAGCUAGAAUCUUGGAGAGGUCAGUGGAAUUCCGAGUGUAGAGGUGAAAUUCGUAGAUAUUCGGAAGAACACCAGUGGCGAAGGCGACUGACUGGACAAGUAUUGACGCUGAGGUGCGAAAGCGUGGGGAGCAAACAGG